rnacentral:lncRNA from 1 species
UGGAAUGUAAUGGAACCUGCUCCAUCCUGUCACCUUAAAGAGGGGGAGAAGAGAGGAAUACACAGUGGUGCUUGUCAGGAAGAAAGGCCAUCGUCUUUUUUUGGAUGUACUCAGGUUAAGAUGGAGUCAUUAAGUGGGUCCCAAUCCAAUAUGACUGGUGUCUUUACAAGUAGAGGAGAGACCCAGAGAGGAGACCACCAAGUGAAGACACAGAGACACAAGGAAGGAAGAUGGCCAUGUGAAGACAGAGACAGAGAUGGGAGUCAUGCUGCCACCAGCCAAGGAACCCCUGGGGCCACUAGAAGCUGGAAGAGGCCAGAAGGACUUUCCCUUUGAGGUUUCAGAGGGAGCUGGGCUCUGCUCACACCUUGAUUUUAGACUUCUAGCCUCCUGAACUGUGAGAGAAUAAAUUUCUGUUGUUAUAAACCAUUCAGUUUGUGGCACUUUGUUUCGGC